rnacentral:pre_miRNA from 11 species
UUUUUCUUUUCUGAGUUUUCUCCCCCUAAACUCUAUAUCUAUCUAUAUGUUCCUCUUAUACCAAGAGGAACAUAUAGAUAGAUAUAGAGUUUAGGGGGGAGAAAACUCAGAAAAGAAAAA